rnacentral:rRNA from 1 species
AUUGAACGCUGGCGGCAUGCUUUACACAUGCAAGUCGAACGGUAACAGGUUAAGCUGACGAGUGGCGAACGGGUGAGUAAUGUAUCGGAACGUGCCCAGUCGUGGGGGAUAACGUAGCGAAAGCUACGCUAAUACCGCAUACGAUCUCUGGAUGAAAGCGGGGGACCGCAAGGCCUCGCGCGAUUGGAGCGGCCGAUAUCAGAUUAGGUAGUUGGUGGGGUAAAGGCCCACCAAGCCAACGAUCUGUAGCUGGUCUGAGAGGACGACCAGCCACACUGGGACUGAGACACGGCCCAGACUCCUACGGGAGGCAGCAGUGGGGAAUUUUGGACAAUGGGGGCAACCCUGAUCCAGCAAUGCCGCGUGCAGGAAGAAGGCCUUCGGGUUGUAAACUGCUUUUGUACGGAACGAAAAGGCUCUGGUUAAUACCUGGGGCUCAUGACGGUACCGUAAGAAUAAGCACCGGCUAACUACGUGCCAGCAGCCGCCGUAA